UGACAAAUUUCACUAUUAUUGCCUUUGGAAUAAUAGGAAUAUUGUUGGGAAUUCCUGUAUAUUUCGGAUGCCAACGAUUGAGUGCAAGCAAAAAUUGUUUUUCAAGGACUAACAAACACAUUAGUGAUACUCUUCAAAAGUGUAUGAUGGUCAUUUCUCCAGAUUAGUUCAAAAUUAGAC